CUUGAUCCUCCUAGUUUCUGGUUACAAUCUCCGUGCAAGAUCUCCUGUCAUUUCCUUUAAACGCUGCAUCAAAAUUUACUUUAAGGAAAGAAGCCUCUAGAAGCCUCCAUCGUUCACUCUUCACCCUUUUAACAGACGGAUAGUCGCUAAAGAUAUGCUCAGAAGUUUCGACAUCUCUUGUACAUUUUGGGCACAUUGCUGAACUUCAUAUCCUCCUAUUGUACAAAUUGUAAUAGCUAGGGAUGUAAUUUUUAAAAAUUAUCUAUGUUGUAAUUUUUAUUUUCUCUGGUAAAUUGAUCUACCAGAGUUUUUUUAUAAAAA